rnacentral:lncRNA from 1 species
AAAAAAAAUUAAAAAAAAAAAAAAAAAAAAAAAAAAAAAAACAUCCAACAGAUAAUGUUUCUUUUUCUUUUUUGACUUAAUUCCUCGAUACACAUAUAUAUAUAUAUAUAUAUAAUGGUGUUUUUUUUUAUUAAAAACAUAAUAUAAUAUGCGAAAAAACAAAAAUGUACACGUUCCAAUAAAUAAAAUGAAAAGUGUAAAAUAUUUUUAUAAAAUAUUUAUAUAUAUAUAAAUAUAUAUAUAUACACACACACACACACACACACACAUAUAUAUAUAUAUAUAUAUAUACCGUGAAUUAUAUAGUAAUAUAUAAUAAUAUAUAUUCAUCUAACUACACAUUUUAUUUAUUUACACAUAUCUAUUUUCGUAUAUGUAUUUACAAAAAAAGAUCUCGUACCUUAUUAUAUAAUUUACUUUUUUUUUUUUUUUUUUUUUUUUUAUAAAAUAAUCGUAUAGAUUUACAUUAGGUAUACAUUUAAUAAUAAUAAUAAUAAUAAUAAUAAUAAUAAUAAUAAUAAUAAAAAUAAAAAUAAUAAUAAUGAUAAUUAUAAUUAUAAUAAUAAUAACUGAACGGGGGCAGCAGGUUUUUUUUCCAAUUUUAUAUCAGUUUAGUUUAUUAGGAAUAUAAUAACAAUUUAUCGCGGUGAAAUCGACGAUUAUUGGGUUUGCGUUUACGGUCGAGAGAAAAAAAAAAAAAAAACUUAAAAAUAACAAAAUUUAUAAUAAUAAUAAUGAUGUUUAAAUUAUUAGUAAAAAUAUAUGAGAAACCCCACCCCCCCCUCCCUCCUCCUCCCCGACUCGUCGGCGAAUACAUUUUACAAAAUCAUUAUAAAGCCGAAACACUCCCUCGUAAGUGUAUGCCUAUGUAUGUAGGCACAAAAUCCAUUUUUAUUUUAAACCGCGAUGGAAAAAAAAAUAUAAUAAAAACAACAAAAAAAUCACUUUUGACGCGCCAAAAAAUGUGUCGGCAACAUAGUAAUAAUGCCGUAAAAAAAAAAAAGAAUUAAAAAUAUUACGCAUUUCGUUCAACCCGAUCGUAUUUGCGGCAAUGUGCGCGCGCACAAUACAUUUUUCGUAUAUGUAACUUAGAGUUUUAUUUAUUUUUUUUUGAAAUUUAUUAUUGGUUUUUUCGAGAGAGACAGAGAGACAAAGCGAGACGGGUUAUUUGAUUUAUUCGGAUGCUGCGGCAACUACCGCGCGCACCGAUAAUAAUAUUAUAAACAUUUGGAGAGGGUUAUGUUAUCGUAGAAAAUAUUACGAAGAAGGUAAAAAAAAAAUAAUAAUAAUAUUACGAAAAAAAGCGUCGUCGUCGUAUACACUGGCAGCGGUAGUGUGUUGUCGGGACCCGGGUUCUCUUUUUUUGUCGUUUUUUCUUUCUCUGUCUCCCUGUCUCUCUCUCUCUCUCGUCGCCGGAGUAAUUUUAUUAUUACCUUUUUUCAUCCGUCACAUAAAUCACGAAUAAUAAAACGGAGAAGAUGAAAAAAAAAAGAAGAAGACGGCGAAAUGAAAUGGAAAAAAAAAAAAAAAUAAAAAAAAAAAUACUGAACAAAAAUUAUGAAUCGUUCGAAUACCGAACCGGUUUUCACUGCAUGCUGCAGCGGUACACUCCGCGGCCGCCGCUGCAGAUAGACCGAGGAGAUACAACGCGCUAUAACAACAAACAAGUGUUUUUUUUUGUAUUUUUUUCGUGAAGGGAAUCGAAAAUCAAAACGAAAACCCUUAACCCCUCUCCCCCCCCCCGAGGAAUGUUCCUAUUUAUGUCCCCGCCGUUUCUGUUGUAGGAAAUCGGUUUUUUUUUUCUCUCGUGUGGGAGCAGCUCACAUCGACGAGUGCGGUUUUGUAUUGACUAGUUUUUUCGCCGAGAGAGGCGGGGAACACCUAAGAGGAUCUACGCGUUAACGGGGGUAUUGUAUUAUACAAUGUACUUACAGGAAUUCGAAUUUUUUAUUUUUUUUUAAUAUUUAAACGAAAAUUUACCGUUUUUUUUUAAUGUUUUUCCGUUUUUCACGAAAACGGAACCCUCGGAGACGAGCGAAAGUGUUUCGACAGCGUUCAUAACCACCGCCGGGAGACAGGGGGGAGGGGUCGAUUUUAAUAAUAUCAAUUCGUACGGGAAGGGAAAACCAAAAAAAAAAAAAAUAAAAUAAAAUAAAAUAAUAAUAACUAUAAAAUAACGAGAGAAAAAAGAAAAAGAAAAAAUGUUUAAAAAAAUACCUGUAUUUAUAUCGAGGUCUGCGAAGUUAUGUCCGCGGGAGAAUAAACACAGAAAAAAAAAAAAAAAAAAUUUGAUAAUAAAAUGUAUUUUAUUUAUUUUCGGCUGCCGAUCCCGCUGUCCCGUCGUGGCUGCGCGUGGUUGACGGUCGCCGGCCGGGUCUUCCGCGUCCUGACGGCUCCGCGAUCCCGCGCCACCGAUGUCCUCGCGGUCUCCGCGGUCCAUCGUCGUCGUCGUCGUCGUCGUCGUCGUCGUGGUCGUCCUCGGCGCCGGUUUCCGCGGUCCUCUGCUCGGCCGUGGGUGCGUGACAUUUCGCGUUUUUCGCCGUAGUCUCCCGUCCCCGCCGUCGGCGUUACGGACAACAACAGUUGUCGUCAAUGUCCGCGCGCUCCGGCGGCCCGAUGAUCUUCCUCGUUGGCGGCAUUAUUAUUAUUAUUAUUAUUGUUGUUAUUAUUGUUAUUGUUGUUAUUGUUAUUCGUCUUCGUUCGUCUUCGUCCUCUUCGUUUUUACGUUUACGGGGGGUGGUGAGGGGGAGUGGGGGAAAAAAAAAACCCGUUAUCGGUACGUUACCGUAACGCGCUCGUAACACCGCAUAAUAAUAACAAAUAUACACAACAUUAUAUAUUUAAAUAACGAUUAAAAAUUUGCGGAAAUAUAAUACAUACAUACAUACGUACGUACGCAUAUAUAUAUAUAUAUAUAUAUAUAUAUUGUCGUAUUAAUAUCAUUAUUACUAUAAUAAUAAUAUUUAAACUAUAAAAG